rnacentral:misc_RNA from 1 species
GUAGGUGAACCUGCGGAAGGAUCAUUAACACAAUACUCUCAUAUCAACAUUGGCGCACUUGUUUGACCCUUAUCGAAGCAGAUGCUGAGUUGGAAAUGGUUGGUUUUAUUACGGCCAAUUCAGCUAAGCUACCGUUUGAGUAGCAGUCCGACUUUAUAAGGUAUUACAGCCUCAACCAUGGCUGGCCCCUUUUUUUUUUAACUACUGAAAUUUGUACUGAUUUGGGCUCGGAUCGAGGGGAGUAAUCCUUUCUCCAAGCUGUUGAUGGAGCAAUCCAUUCAAUUAACCAAAACACAACUCUUAACAGCGGAUAUCUCGGUUCUC